rnacentral:sRNA from 2 species
GUAACGAAUUCAUCGCGCUGUACCCUACAUACAGCCGAACAAAAAAAGAAAGGGCUUCCCGGGUGGAAGCCCAAUUUCU